rnacentral:tRNA from 1 species
GGCUCUGUGGCGCAAUGGAUAGCGCAUUGGACUUCUAAUUCAAAGGUUGUGGGUUCGAGUCCCACCAGAUUCG